rnacentral:rRNA from 1 species
GAUGAACGCUGGCGGCGUGCUUAACACAUGCAAGUCGAACGAUGAAGCACAGCUUGCUGGGUGGAUUAGUGGCGAACGGGUGAGUAACACGUGAGUAACCUGCCCUUAACUCUGGGAUAAGCCUGGGAAACUGGGUCUAAUACCGGAUAGGAGCGCCUACCGCAUGGUGGGUGUUGGAAAGAUUUAUCGGUUUUGGAUGGACUCGCGGCCUAUCAGCUUGUUGGUGAGGUAAUGGCUCACCAAGGCGACGACGGGUAGCCGGCCUGAGAGGGUGACCGGCCACACUGGGACUGAGACACGGCCCAGACUCCUACGGGAGGCAGCAGUGGGGAAUAUUGCACAAUGGGCGAAAGCCUGAUGCAGCGACGCCGCGUGAGGGAUGACGGCCUUCGGGUUGUAAACCUCUUUCAGUAGGGAAGAAGCGAAAGUGACGGUACCUGCAGAAGAAGCACCGGCUAACUACGU